UACGUAGGUGGCAAGCGUUGUCCGGAUUUACUGGGCGUAAAGAGCGCGCAGGCGGUCAGAUAAGUCGAAUGUGAAAGCCCUCGGCUUAACUGAGGAAGUGCACCCGAAACUGAGUAGCUAGAGUACUAAAGAGGGUCGCGGAAUUCCCGGUGUAGAGGUGAAAUUCGUAGAUAUCGGGAGGAACACCGGUGGCGAAGGCGGCGACCUGGGUAGAUACUGACGCUGAGACGCGAAAGCGUGGGGAGCAAACAGG
rnacentral:rRNA from 1 species